rnacentral:lncRNA from 1 species
UUCCUGGUAACGUCCUUCUUAUUCGUUGUUGAUGUUACGUAAUCUUGUAAUUCUAGCAUUAAAAAAUUUCUCUGUAUCAAUAUCAUGACAGACAUCGCAUUAUUUCCAAAUCACGAACGAUAACAUCAAGCUAUGAUCUGGACCGGACCAUGCAACAAUAUUGUUCAUAUGACUAGUUUAAUAGACGAGAAGGCCGGUAAAAUAAUAUUUAAGUUAUUAAAAAAAUUUAUCUGCUUCGUCUAUUCUGUUUAGAUUUCGUAAGAACCAGGAACGGUUGUUGUCAUAGCCUAAAUUAAGACGGACGCGUUAAGAUGGUGAUCUACCGAAUGUCACCCUACCGUGUAGUUCACGCGUCGCAGAUAAAAUUUAUGGGCCACGGUCCAUUCACUAGCAUGAUUCCCCCAGUGGAUGGUCUUUUUUUAUGAUAAAAUUCCUAUCAUCCUGUCCCGUAGUGUCACUUAGUUUCAACUCCGAACUUUUUUUUUCUUUUGGAAUUAAUUUGUACCAAGAAAAUUAUCCGGGAAAAUUAGUCAUACAAAAAAACAGAGGACUUGUUUGGUUG